GGAAUCUUGGACAAUGGGGGCAACCCUGAUCCAGCGAUGCCGCGUGAGUGAAGAAGGCCUUCGGGUCGUAAAGCUCUUUAGGCUGGGCAGAAGAUUGGUAGUUUAAGAGAUAAUCAAUUUGACUGUACCAGCAGAAUAAGCCCCGGCACACUAUGUGCCAGCAGCCGCGGUAAUACAGAGGGUGCGAGCGUUAAUCGGAUUUACUGGGCGUAAAGGGCGCGUAGGCGGUUGUGUGAGUGUGAUGUGAAAGCCCCGGGCUUAACCUGGGAAGUGCAUCGCAAACGACACAGCUAGAGUAGAUGAGAGGGUGAUGGAAUUUCCGGUGCAGCGGUGAAAUGCGUAGAGAUCGGAAGGAACGUCAAUGGCGAAGGCAGUCACCUGGCAUCAUACUGACGCUGAGGCGCGAAAGCGUGGGUAGCGAA
rnacentral:rRNA from 1 species